GGAUCAAUGGAUUGGUCAUGCCGAUGGUGUGUACUGGUCAUAUUGGUUCUCACCUUCUAAGGAACCAUAAUGUCAUUUAUUUGAUGUUGUGGGGAAUUAGGACUGUUACCUUGAAAAAAUUAGAGUGUUUAAAGCAGGCAUUUUGCUUGAAUACAUUAGCAUGGAAUAAUAAAAUAGGACAUCCGAUUCUAUUUUGUUGGUUUCUAGGAUCGAUGUA
rnacentral:rRNA from 1 species